rnacentral:rRNA from 1 species
UAAGGAAUAUUGGUCAAUGGACGCAAGUCUGAACCAGCCAUGCCGCGUGGAGGAUGAAGGCCCUCUGGGUUGUAAACUUCUUUUAUAGGGGAAGAACUCUAUCCUUUCUAGGGUAGUUGACGGUACCCUGUGAAUAAGCACCGGCUAACUCCGUGCCAGCAGCCGCGGUAAUACGGAGGGUGCAAGCGUUAUCCGGAUUCACUGGGUUUAAAGGGUGCGUAGGUGGGCAGGUAAGUCAGUGGUGAAAUCUCUGGGCUCAACCCGGAAACUGCCGUUGAUACUAUUUGUCUUGAAUAGAGUGGAGGUGAGCGGAAUAUGUCAUGUAGCGGUGAAAUGCUUAGAUAUGACAUAGAACACCGAUUGCGAAGGCAGCUCGCUACACUCUCAUUGACACUGAGGCACGAAAGCGUGGGGAUCAAACAGGAUUAGAUACCCCCGUAGUCC